AAUUGCAUAAAUCUUAUUAGGUGUUUGAAAAAGCUUGAAUCUUUUAUGUGUUGUUCCUUGGAGUUAGGUUGUUAAAGAAAUUAGAAUUUUUGCUAAGGUUUUUUUUUUUUUUUAAAUGACUUGUUUAUGUCUGGCAGGGGAAGUGAAAUGGCUCUUAUCAAUUUGGAAACUCAUGUGUUGCUGCUCAGUGGGGGAUUCGUCGUCCUCAUGUUGCAGUCAAAGCUUCUUUUUAUCCAACCAGAUUGGAAUCUCACCAUGACAACAGUUGCAUCAGCCAAAUAAAUUGUUUGGGAGCUUCACAGUCGAUGGAAGUGAAUGGAGGGAUUAUUGUGUCGGUGGUGAAGGAGGAAGAUUGGUUUAAGAAGCAUAGGAGCCGAGUGAAAGUGAUUGACUAUGGCGAAGCUGUCAUCAUGCCUGGUCUUGUUGAUGUGUAAGUUUGAUCUUAAACCACAUCACCAAGGACUCGGUUCUGUGUAGUUUCUGCUUCCUUCUGGAACAAUGGCUGCUGCUGCUGGUAAUCAAAUCAUGUUUCAAUUACUUUGAGUUUCGGUACUUAAACAUUGGCUCUUUCUUUGAAAGUUAAUUUCCUAGUAAAGUUGGCUCUUUCCUUGACCAAUGAAACAUGAACUCUUUCUUCUUU